GUCUCGCGCUCGUGGGAGGGGCGUAGUUUGCUGUUCUGGCUUCUUUUUGAGAGCUGGUUGAAAGUGGGCGUUUGUCCAAGUUUGGGUGUUUUUUUGUGGCCACUGUAGUUGUCCUAGUCGUAUCUCGAGAAAAACGAACACUUUUCCCGCCUUCCUUUUGCAAAUUCAUUCAUUCACUAUUGAGCGCCUACGCCUUGUCAAACACGGUGCUGGGAAUGGGGAUGAAUCAGUCUGUGAGCAAGGAGUUUCCAGUAGCGUUGACCAGACAGGACAAACUUAUGAGUGUGUAAAAGAUAAAGGCUAGGAAAUUAAGGCAGAUUAAGGAUUUCAGAAGCCUUUUUGAAGGAAAAGAACUGAGUAAUCCAGACUUGGGGAAAGAAGUGCUAUCCAAUAAUAGAAUUUGAUGUCUUUGAGAUGGUUUGCGAUUGGAUAAAACCACACAAAUAUGGGCAGAGGUGAAAUACUCCCUGAAGGAAAUGAAUUAUACCACUGUCAGUCUUCCUAAAAAGAGAUCAGAUCCUGGAGCCAGAGAUAAGGUGAAUUUGGCCUUAAAUGAACACCAGCAAUAGCCUUGAAUCAGAAGUGUGAAAAUUGGAAAUAUGUGAAGAAAGUAGGAGCAGUGUAAGGAAAUACUUUGACCCUGCCUGUACCAUGGGAGAAAUGUGGCUGUAUGUUCGAAGGUUACUUUCCAUGUUCCACGGACAUCUGAAGAAGGCCUGCAUUUCGAGUCACACAAUUUUAGAGCUGGUCAGGAAUCUAGACUUCACCUGGUGCUACCCAUACCUUUACAAGGGUGGAGCCUCAAGCUUAUGCCUCCAGAGGCCAAUGUCUGCCUCACGUCACAGAACUCCUAGUUCAGAAUGCUUCCUUCAUCUGCAGUUGCUUGUUUCAGAACUUGGAAAUGACCACAUGCCCAUCAACUGGUGAAAGCAUAGACAAAAUGUGGUCUACCCAAACAACUGAAUUCUACUCAGCAAUAAAAAGAAGCCAACCACUGAUACAACAACAUGGAUAAAUCCCAAAAACAUUAUGCUGAGUGAAAGAAGCCAGACUCGAAAGAGGACACGAUUCCAUUUAUAUGGCAUUCUAGAAUAGGCAAAACUAGUACAUGAUAACAGAAAGCAGAUCAGUGGUUGCCUGGGGAUGGGCAUGGAGGAUGGUUUAGCUAGGGAGGGGCUCAAGGGAAUGUUAUAGGGUGAUGGAAAUGUUCUUCAUCUUGUUUAGGGCAGUGGUUUCAAGGGGUGUAUACAUUUGUUAAAACUCAUCUAAUUUUACACUUAAACUGGAAGCUUUUUUUUGGAGAGGAAGAGUGACCCUAAGCUAACACCUGUUGUCAAUCUUCCUCCUUUUACUUGAGGAAGAGUGGCCCUGAGCUAACAUCUGUGCCCAGCUUCCUCUAUUCUGUAUGUGGGUUGCUGCCACAGCAUGGCUGGUGACUGGUGUAGGUCUGCACCCAGGAUUCAAACCCACAAACCUGGGCCACUGAAGCAGAGUAUGCUGAUCUUAACCACUAUGCCACUGGGCUGCCCGCUAAACUGGAUGCAUUUUGUUGCAGGUAAAUUAUAUAUCAAUAAAAUUAAUUUUAAAAGGAAAAAAAAAAAGCAAGCCCCCUACCAAAGCAGACAAAACAGAAAACUAACACCAAUAGCCAAAAUUAAGGAAAACCACUUUAAUAUUUUUUUAAAAUAGUCUUGAGUGAUGCACUUGUGACCCUGAAGUUUCCUGUGGUGCAUUACAUGUGUGUCUCUGUGUAUACACAGUACUGUGUGACUUUGUGGUCACACCGAACUUUACACAGGACUGUUUGCUGUGUGCAUGCAGCAAACCAGCAGGCACGGAUGUGAACAGGUUGUGUUUCCAAGUGCCAUUGCCUUUCUGUUGAUUCGAAUAGUUGCCUUCUCAUUUGGUAAUAUACCCAGGAGGAAAUCUUCAAGAAAACUAUCAAUGCCAAUUUCAAGUAGUGAUGGAAUAACUGUGUUUUUCCCAAGAAAUGUUUGUUUGUUUGUUUGUUUGUUUAAUUGUUAAGAGAUAUGUGACUCAUGUGAUCAUGCCUCCCGAUUUAUAUUGGGUGUGGGGAAGCUCACGGUCUGGUCUGCGGCCCACUCCUAGCAACAAUGCAAGACCAUAUGACGUGCUUCUUGGGUACUAAUCUCAUCCCUGGUUUCUUACUUUUUGCUCCUAGGAUUAUUUUCCCUUCCUCCUGAUUUCCUUACUUAGUUUUUUAGCAACUUUUAUAUACUUUUUUCAAAUACACAUUUUAAUAGGUUACCUAUACGUAAAUAAAGUAAGAUACAUGAUGCUUAUGUAACACUACUUUGAAUCUCUGGGUUUUUUGUGUGUAUUAAGAGGUAGUUGCUAAUAAAACUUCUCUGUUCUCCAA
ensembl:lncRNA